UGGCUUUUCAUACGUUAGGCGAAAACAAAAAAAAAUUAUAGAAGAAAAGGGGAAUCACAAGGUGGUUGUGGUGGAGGAGAAUUGGGACCCGAAUAUUAUGUUGGUUAAGGGUAAGAACAUGUCGAAUACGUUGGGGUUGAAGUUUUUGGAAGGUGGGCCAUCUUCCUCCGUCCCACCAUAACCUUAUACUGUGAAAUGGGGUAAGUUCAGAAACCAAAACCAUCAUGGGUUGCGAAACAAGAAGAAGGUUGAUGCUAUGAUGCCGGUGGUGGAUCUAGUGGAGAACAUCUCUGAGCAGAUUGAUUCUGCAAUAAGGAAUAUUGAAGUGCUAAGAGAAGAUGGAUAGAGCUAUUAGAAGCGGAAAGCGAUGAGGGGAACUUCCAGGCUAAAUGUUAAAUUCGGGGUUGGAUUUUCUUUUCUUUCUAAUUUAUAUGUUUAUGCUUCCGAAUUUCUUAGUUGAAAUUGUCAAGGAUGCGCACACCCUCGAUUUAAUCAUAUUCUGAAAGAAUAUAUUUGUGACUUUGCUGUGGAUGUGGUUGUAUUGUUAGAAACCAGGAUAAGUGGGGUUCGAGCAGAUUCAAUUAUCUUGAAUUCGAGUUUUAAAUUCUCUCAUAGAGUGGAGGCGCGAGGUUUUGCUGGUGGUAUUUGGGUGCUAUGGAAUGAAUCCGUUUCGAUAGAUAUCCAGGUAAGCCAUUUCCAAUUCAUUCAUAUGUCACUCUUUAUGGUUCAAAAGGCCAAAGCAUUUCAUUGGAUAGUUGUAUAUGGGAGUCCAGAUGUGAGGAAACGUGAAAUUUUAUGGAAUGCUCUAAGUAAGAUAGUGGGGGUUACAAGGGAACCUUGGAUGCUAUUUUGGACACAGUUGAUUAUCAAUGUCCAAAUUUGAUGAGGAGACGGGUGCAGGAGAUUCAAAGCUUUUUUGUCUGAUCACAAUUUGAUUGAUUUAGGUUUCUCUGGCCCCAAAUUCACUUGGAACAGGGGUACAACUUUUGAAAGGCUAGAUCGUGGAAUUGGAAAUAUGGAAUAGGUUAAUGAAUUUCCAAAUUAUGCAAUUCGACAUCUCCAUGGAUUAAAAUCAGACCAUCGACUUUUACUUAUUACGUUUGAUGGGAAAGAGAAGAAAAAAGGUUUGCGUCCAUUUCAUUUUUUUAUAGUUGGUUAUCUCAUAAAAUAUUUCUUGAAUUGGUUAAAGGAAACUGGAAUUUUAAUGGGGAUAUUAUGGAGACUGUCAAUAAUUUUGUAGGUGUAGCAAAGGAAUGGAAUCUUAACACUUUUGGUAGUCUUUUCAAAAGAAAGAAGUAAUGGCUAGGACUAAAGGGGUGGAACGUAUAUUAGAAGAUAAACUAAUGAGGAAUUUGAGGAAGUUGGAUUUUUGUCUAAGGCAGGAUAUGGAAUUGAUUCUAGAUUUGGAGGAACUGUUAUGGAAGCCGAAGUCACGUUGUGAUUGGCUAAUUAGUGGGGAUAGGAAUACUAAAUAUUUCCAUAGACAGAAGCUGAAUAAGAGGAGAAAUAAUAGGAUUUAGGCUCUAAAAUUAAGCAAUGGGUCGUGGAGUUUUGACAAUGAUGUUUUGAAAGAAGAAGCUAUUAAUUUUUUCAAAAAUCUCUAUACUAUAGAAGGAACAAUUAGCGGGAGAUUGAUGCGUGUGAAUUACUUUCCCCAGCUAAAUGAUGGUGAAAUACAUAACCUUUGUAUGGAGGUGACAGAUUUGGAAGUAAAGGCAACUUUGGAUGGUAUGUCGUGUAGUAAAAGAUGUGUUUGCGGGUCGACCUUUGAAUCCAAGUCUGAAUACUACCCUGCUAGUGUUACUUCCAAAGGUGAAUAACCCGGAGGCUUUUUCUCAAUUCAGACCAAUCAGCCUCUGUUCAGUGUUAUAUAAGAUCAUUACCUAGACUUUAGUCAACUAGCUAAAAAUAAUCAUGAUGAAGCUUACGUCUCCAAAACAAGUUAGUUUUGUGUCGGGUCGCUCAAUUAUGGACAACAUUAUAAUUGCUCAGGAGGCUAUACAUACGAUGUGCACUUCAAAAGAUAGGAUUGGUUGGAUGGUGAUCAAAAUAGACUUAAAGAAAGCCUAUGACCGAAUCUGAUCAGAUUUCUUGAAGGAUACUCUUAAGACUGCUGGGUUACCAUCAACAAUUUGUAAUUUAGUUACGAAUUGUGUAACAUCUUCAAUGCAAGUAUUGUGGAAUGGAGAGGUUAAUCUUGAAUUCAUACCAACUCGAGGGGUGCAGCAAGGUGAUCCAAUAUCUUCGUACUUGUUUGUUUCGUGCAUGGAAAGACUGGGUCACUAUAUUCAACAAGCAAUUGAAGAAGGGUUAUGAAAAUCUAUGCAGUUUUCUGUAGAUGGACCUAGGUUAUCUUAUCUAUUUUUGUCGGAUGAUCUUGUGCUCUUUUGUAAAGCAGAGCUUGAACAGGCUAGAAUUGUCAAGGAAAUGCUAAUGCAAUUUAGUUAUUUCUCAGGGCAUAAAGUCAAUAAUCAGAAGUCUCAAAUUUAUUUCUCAGCCAUGGUGGAUAAUUCAGUAACAAAUGAGAUAAGCGAAUACUUAGGAGUGACAAGAACGGAUGAUCUCAGUAAGUAUUUGGCUGUUCCUUUACUACACUCAUGAGUUACGAAAGGCACUUAUGCAUUUUUCAUUGAGAAAUUGAAGAAGCGGCUUUCUGGAUAGGAAUGGAAACUUCUGUCAUUAGCAGGUAGGGUUACCUUAGCAAAAUCAGUAUUGCAAUCAAUUCCCAAUUAUUUUAUGCAGUCGGUUCUUAUCCCAUUGGGUGUUUGCCAGGAGGUUGAAAAGUUUAUUCUUCAAUUUAUUUGGGGAUCGAAUAAUAUUUCUCAGAAAAUAGCACUGGUUGGUCGGGAAAAAUAUUACCACUAGACCGAGGGGGAUACUCAAUAUCAAAAUAAGGCAUUUCUUCUUAAACUUGGUUUCAAUUUCCUAUUAUAGAAAGAUGCCUUGUGGGUCAGGAUACUCAAGUCAAAAUAUAAAAUUGAUGAGGAUUGUCCACAAAACAUUGAAAGAUGAUGUUGCAGUUUUACUUGGAAAUCUAUUUCGAGUGUUUGGGCUAAACUUUGAAGUAGCCUCUUUUGGCAUAUAGGAAACGGUAAGAGAGUAAGGUUUUGGACUGAUCACUGGAUUAAAGAGUUGGGACCUUUAUCUAAGUAUUGCACUAAUGCAAGACCUAUUUUUCAGGAUGCCACAGUAUAUGCAAUGGUAAUAUUAGAAGGAGAAUGGAACUAGGAGUAUUUUGAAAGGGAUCUCCUAAGGGAAGUUCUCUUGUAUAUUGUAGGUAUUCAUCCCCCAAAAGACGAUACAGGGGAAGACCAAACAGCAUGGAGGUUAACGAAUAAUGACAUGCACAGUAGCUAGUGGAUACAGUAAAUUCGCACAUGGUGAUUGGUUCUUACGAGAUCGAAAAUGGAAGUUAAUAUGGAAAUUACAUGUUUCUCGGAGGGUUUGACAGUUCCUUUGGCUUCUAUUACACAAUCGACUCCUAUCCAAUUCAGAACGGUGUAGGAGGGGAAUGGUUGAUAGCCAUUUUUACGAUUUAUGUGGGAGUGGGGUUGAAACACCUUUGCAUGCGGUGAGAGAUUGCUUGGUAGCUUGAAAUGUCUGGGUAAAAUUUGUACCAUCAGACAAGUUGGAUAUUUUCCUUUCAUUAAAUUUGGAAGAAUGGUUGAUAAAAAAUCUUUUAGAUUUUAAUGAGGCUAUUGUCCAAGGUGUCUGUUGGAAUAUUUUAUUUGGGAUUAUAACUUGGAAAAUAUGGAAACAACAAAACACUCGCUCUUCAAUGGAGAAUUUGGUGAGGCUUCAAUUAAGGUUGCUGGAAGUAUGGCCUUUGCGAAAUCAAUCACGUUGGCGGACAGUAGGAGAAAUCAACAGAAUGAUCCAACAAUGUCUUUUACUAGUUAGCCACCACCACCUAGAGACUGGUGCAAGUUGAAUACAGAUGGCUCAAGACACUUGACUACUGGUCGAGCCUCAACUGAGGGUUUUUUUUGGGAUCCUCAAGGUAGAUGGGUUACUGGUUAUAGUCGGAAUAUAGGCGUUUGUUCUGUACUUGAUGCAGAAUUAUGGACAAUCAUGGACAGAUUGGAUAUAGCUUGGAAAAGAGGCGUAAAGCAAUUAUUGGUGGAAAGUGAUUGUUUGAUUGCGAUCAAUAUGCUUAAUGGUCAGACAGAGGAGACAAAGGGAGUCUAGCACGAAUCGUCAGAGAGCUGUUAGCAAGGGAUUGACAUCUAAAGGUAAUGUUUACUCCACGCACAACGAAUAUGGUUGGAGAUUCUAUGGCAGCAUUAGGAAGAAAUGUUCCUCUUGGUUUGAGAAUUUAUGAUGUUCCCCCCAAGAUGAUCGAGAUAGAGAUUCUACAAGACAGUAUUGGUGUCAGUUCUCGGAGGCUUAUUGGGUUGGAAGCUUAGCAGAGAUCACUCCCACUAUCCACUGGCCCAUUUUCGGUACAAGUAUGAAACUAAUUUUGGUUGCAAUGACAUGUAGAGGUUAACUUGGCCAUUGAUGGCAUAUACAUAUUUUGGUUGUAAAUAACCAUUUAAAUGGCUAUGUUUGGUAGUUUUGAUGUGUAAAUAGUCUUAAUAUACUUUAUCUAUGUUUGAAAUGGUCAAAUGAUGGUAAGUAUAUGGAUGAAUGGAUCAAGAUAGCAUAUUUGGUAAAAUAUGAAUAUAUGUGAAUUUUAUAAAUUAGGCAAGAUAGAGUUUAUGAAUACAUGUAAUGAAAAUAUUAUGUAUAUGACUUGGUUUUGACUUGAUUUAAAUGUCUUGUAUUGGAUUGAGAA